AACGCGAAGAACCUUACCAGCCCUUGACAUGCCUCGUAUGGGGUGGGGAGACCCAUUCCUUCAGUUCGGCUGGCGGGGACACAGGUGCUGCAUGGCUGUCGUCAGCUCGUGUCGUGAGAUGUUGGGUUAAGUCCCGCAACGAGCGCAACCCCCAUCUUCAGUUGCCAGCGGUUCGGCCGGGCACUCUGAAGAAACUGCCGGUGACAAGCCGGAGGAAGGCGGGGAUGACGUCAAGUCCUCAUGGCCCUUAUGGGCUGGGCUACACACGUGCUACAAUGGCGGUGACAGAGGGAGGCAAGGCAGCGAUGCUGCGCCAAUCUCAAAAAGCCGUCUCAGUUCGGAUUGCUCGCUGCAACUCGCGAGCAUGAAGUCGGAAUCGCUAGUAAUCGCGGAUCAGCACGCCGCGGUGAAUACGUUCCCGGGUCUUGUCCACCAGG
rnacentral:rRNA from 1 species